rnacentral:rRNA from 1 species
CCUACGGGUGGCAGCAGUGAGGAAUAUUGGUCAAUGGACGAGAGUCUGAACCAGCCAAGUAGCGUGAAGGAUGACUGCCCUAUGGGUUGUAAACUUCUUUUAUAUGGGAAUAAAAUGUUCCACGUGUGGGAUUUUGUAUGUACCAUAUGAAUAAGGAUCGGCUAACUCCGUGCCAGCAGCCGCGGUAAUACGGAGGAUCCGAGCGUUAUCCGGAUUUAUUGGGUUUAAAGGGAGCGUAGGUGGAUUGUUAAGUCAGUUGUGAAAGUUUGCGGCUCAACCGUAAAAUUGCAGUUGAAACUGGCAGUCUUGAGUACAGUAGAGGUGGGCGGAAUUCGAGGUGUAGCGGUGAAAUGCUUAGAGAUCACGAAGAACUCCGAUUGCGAAGGCAGUUCACUGGACUGCAACUGACACUGAGGCUCGAAAGUGUGGGUAUCAAACAGGAUUAGAUACCCUUGUAGUC